GAUGAACGCUGGCGGCGUGCUUAACACAUGCAAGUCGAACGGUGAACACGGGGCUUGCUCUGUGGGAUCAGUGGCGAACGUGUGAGUAACACGUGAGCAACCUGCCCCUGACUCUGGGAUAAGCGCUGGAAACGGCGACUAAUACAGGAUAUGUGACGUGACCGCAUGGUCUGCGUUGGGAAAGAUUUUGCGGUUGGGGAUGGGCUCGCGGCCUAUCAGCUUGUUGGUGAGGUAAUGGCUAACCAAGGCGUCGACGGGUGACCGACCUGAGAGGUUGACCGACCACACAUGUCCUAAGGUACGGACCAGUGUGUUAUGGUAGGCAUCAGUCGGGAAUAUUUCACUAUGGCCGCAAGCCUUAUGCAGCAACGCCGCGAGAUGGAUGACGUCCUUGUGGUUGUAAACCUCUUUAAGCAGUGAACUAGCGAAAGUGACGGUACCUGCAGAAAAAGCGCCGGCUAACUACGUG
rnacentral:rRNA from 1 species